rnacentral:rRNA from 1 species
CAGUAGCCGCGGUAAUACGGAGGGAGCUAGCGUUAUUCGGAAUUACUGGGCGUAAAGCGCACGUAGGCGGCUUUGUAAGUUAGAGGUGAAAGCCUGGAGCUCAACUCCAGAAUUGCCUUUAAGACUGCAUCGCUUGAAUCCAGGAGAGGUGAGUGGAAUUCCGAGUGUAGAGGUGAAAUUCGUAGAUAUUCGGAAGAACACCAGUGGCGAAGGCGGCUCACUGGACUGGUAUUGACGCUGAGGUGCGAAAGCGUGGGGAGCAAACAGGAUUAGAGACCCCGGUAGUCCCUGUCUCUUAUAC